rnacentral:lncRNA from 1 species
UCCACUUGCCCCUGGAAUCGGGCGCGAAAGACAAGACUUUCUUGAGCACGAGGUCACCUUCUCGGAACACACGAGGCUUGACCUUCUUAUCGAAUGCUUUCUUCAUUCUCUGCUGAUAUAACUGACCAUGGCACAUGGCAGUCAAUCGCUUCUCUUCAAUCAAAUUCAGUUGGUCGUAACGACUCUGAAUCCAUUCAGCAUCAGUCAACUAGGGAUUUGAGGGUAUACUUUUUCUUUUUUCUCUUUUGAAAAAAAAAUUCCUGAUUUUUGAUUUUUUCUUAUUUUUUUUCUUUUGAUUUUGUUUUUUUUCACCCUCUUCUCUUUUUCUUUACAUUACAUUUGUAAUGCCCCAGUUUGAC